CUGUAUGUCAAUGUACCUCUCUUUCUUUUGUCUCCAAGAUGUCACACCUGUAACACAACAGAUAGGAACGCCAUCUGUGUAAACUGCAUCAAGAAAUGCCACCAAGGGCACGAUGUAGAGUUUAUACGGCACGAUCGGUUUUUCUGUGACUGCGGAGCAGGGACGUUGUCCAACCCGUGCACGCUGGCCGGAGAGCCCACACACGACACGGACACUCUGUAUGACUCGGCACCUCCCAUCGAGUCCAACACGCUUCAACAUAACUGAAAGCGUCUGGUCUAGUUACACCCUCUCACUUAAGCAUAUAAACACAUUACAUUGCACACAGCUAUACACACACACACAGUAACACACACCCACACACACGUCCACGUGCAGCCAUAAGGACCCAGAGAGACUCUGUAACUGCAGUGCUCUCAGACGGGCUCGAGGUGAGAUUGGCUGCAGAGGAAGCAGCUUCCUGUCGCUGCAGUCAAACAUGCUGCAGUGUGGGCAGACACCACUAGGGGAAGCUGUGGAGCUGAGAGUAGGCGGACAGAAAGGCCACAAGAGAUUCCUCGCUCGAGUAUUUCUUAUUGCAGUCUGAAGACAAAGAAGAUGGAAGAUGAGGGCUGAUGAUGGAUGCGUAUAAAGUUCCCCCUGUGUUACUCCCUGGCCCACUUCUUUUUCUUCUUCUUCUUCACAUGAACUGCUGUCAAAGAGACUUCCUGCUUCCUCGCAGCUGCCAUCCCCAUUGGCUUCCCAGGCAGUUGUAACUAGGCAACAGAUGGGCGGAUGUUGCUCUGUCAUGUGUGGAUAAAAAGCAAGAUUGUGUGUGUGAUGGAGCACUUGGGCUUUUUUUAAAAAAAAUAUAUGUUCAGAUCAA